rnacentral:lncRNA from 1 species
CUGGUGUACAUCAAUGAUACCUGUGUGCUUGGCUUUUCUCACAAAGAGGUAGUGGAAAUGUUGAAAGCCAUUCCGGUGGGUCACACUGUGGACGUUGUUGUCCGAAGAGGCUACCCCAUGCUCUAUAACUCUGAUGGCUGUCCGAAGAUGCCUAAUCCUAAUCUAACGGCAUCCCUAGACCAGUCACUACAUCUACCUCCACCAACCACCACCCAACCCCAGGCCCAGGCUCCUCUCCCAUACGCUCAGCUACACCUCAACCACAACGGGCCCAUGUGGUCUGAUUUUGAGAGGGGAUCCUCAAGGAAUCUCAGAGGUCGGGCAUCGAGGUUCAGUUUGGAUGCUAAUGGUAAUUCAUCUCCAUUUGCUUCUCCUUCAAGACAGCCAUCAUCAUACCAGUACUCUAAUGGGUAUGGGAGUGGGUUCCUGAGACCACCACGCUCUGCCCGAAGUAUCAGGAGGUUACAGAGUACAGAACUGGCCAGCCAGAGUGACAGCGAGGUGGUGUCUGCGAUUGGAUCCCAUAGGGCCUCGUUUAUCCGUAACCACAACAACAACUCUCUGUCCACUCCACCACCUCUCCGCCUGCACUCCUUCAAAUCUUCUGAGAGUGACCUUUCCUCGAGUACUCCACCACCCAUAUCUCGAUUGCCCCUGCCCCACACUGAUGUAAGUCCAGGCCCUAUCUCGUUCUCUCCUGGAGGAGGAAGGCGCUACUCUCAUCUCCGUAAACCCCAGCAUUCACUGCUAACCCCACCUAGCAACGCCCAUUCUGACGGGCCUUACUUCACCUUCAACGGCACAGCCAGUGCCAGCAGCGGCAGCCCGAACAGCAGCAUUCCUUCACCUGGAGCCAUGAGCGCUGUGAUCGGGAGUGGAGUUGGAGGAAUGGCGGGUAAUGGGGAAUUAGUCCCCGUUGCUUUGGCUAAAUGUGAGAGGGGCAGCAAUAUGGGGUUCAGUGUCACGGCAGGAGGUCAUGGAGGAAGACAGACCCUCGUGAAGAAAGUCUGGGACCACAGACAGUGUAUCGGAC